rnacentral:misc_RNA from 1 species
AAAUUGACAUCAGCAGGGAACUUAUAAGAAAUGAGGAAUCUCAAGUCCCACCCAGACCUAAGGAAUCAGAGUCUGCAUUUCAACAAGAUCCCUGGGUGUUGUAAUGAUACACUUGCAGUGUGAGAAGUGUUUCCUUACCUGCCUCUCAUUCUUGUUUGGGAGCAUUCAAUGCAAGAGGACAAUGGAGCAGGAUCUACACAAUUCUAAAGAAAAGCAAGCAUGACUCAAGGAUUUCCUCUUCAUCCUGUGUUCUUCAUGUAGAGAGACAGCAGAGAGGCAGUCAGAGAAUACUGUCUGAUAAGCCCUUGAAAAAGCUGUAGGGCCAAGAUGAGAUACAGAGAUGACUCAAAACAGAGAAUCCAGGAAUGCAUAGAUCCUGGUAAAAAAGUGUUCUGUCAGUUGUGGUGUUGGAAUCCAGAGAAGAAAGCAGGUGUGUCAAAGGCUGGCAGCCAAAGGUCGGCGCAUCCCCCUCAGUGAGAUGAUGUGCAGGGAUCUACCAGGGCUCCCUCUUGUAAGAUCUUGCCAGAUGCCUGAGUGCAGUAAAAUCAAAUCAGAGAUGAAGACAAAACUUGGUG